UUGCUCCCUGAGAUUAGCGGCGGACGGGUGAGUAACACGUGGGCAACCUGCCURUAAGACUGGGAUAACUUCGGGAAACCGGAGCUAAUACCGGAURCGUUCUUUUCUCGCAUGAKAGAAGAUGGAAAGACGGUUUCKGCUGUCMCUUAUAGAUGGGCCCGCGGCGCAUUARCUAGUUGGKGAGGUAAUGGCUCACCAAGGSGACRAUGCGUAGCCSACCUGAGAGGGUGAUCGGCCACACUGGGACUGARACACGGCCCARACUCCUACGGGAGGCAGCAGUAGGGAAUCUUCCGCAAUGGACRAAAGUCUGACGGARCAACGCCSCGUGAACGAARAAGGCCUUCGGGUCGUAAAGUUCUGUUGUUAGGGAARAACAAGUACCAGAGUAACUGCUGGURCCUUGACGGUACCUAACCASAAAGCCACGGCUAACUACGUGCCA
rnacentral:rRNA from 1 species